ACUACCUCUUUAACACCACCAGACCACAAUUUUCCACCAGGUCCGGAAUCAUAACCACACCAGUCAAAACAAUAACCACCUCAACCUUUUAAUCCUACCUGAAUAACUAUAAACAAACUCUAGAUGUCCAAAAUCCAGAUCCAGAGAAGGAGAAUAUAGAGCAGCAUUAGAGAAGAAAACAGAAAAAUAAACACAAACAGAAACCCAACUGCUGCAUAGGUCUGUCCGUCUGAGCAACAAACACUCUCUCCCGGAAAACGUGUUACCUGCGAGUUUCCCUUAUCAGAACAUGAUGGGGGCCCCACUUUUCCACUUCCCAAGUAGGUCAACUUCCGCUGAGUGAAACACCUUCCUUCCUUCUGGAAGCUCAUCAGAGUUUUUUACAGUGUCGAUCUGAGAAGUAGAGAUGCCGGGUUCUGACCCUUUAUGGAUUAGGCGCAUGAUGUUAUACGGAUCUCUAUGUGGCGUAGCCAUUUUAGUGGCUUCCGUUGAAAGUCAGAGUUUUUUCGAUCCUAAACAUCCAAAGGAACAACCGACUGCCGAGGAUGAUCUGAAGAAGCAGCGGCAGCACUUAGAGACCCAUAAUAAAAAUGGUAUGGUAAACAGGGCUGUUGAAUAAGCCACCGUUUCUAGUUUUUGGCUUCAGUAAUUCAACUUUUUAUUUAAGCUUCAAUUUUUUGUUAUAAUCUUUUUGAGAUCUACGGAUGCUAAUUUUAUCAUGUAAAUGUUGUUACUCCAAUCUGUCUGAAUUCAUUUUUGGGUCA